AAACUUUCAACAACGGAUCUCUUGGUUCCGGCAUCGAUGAAGAACGCAGCGAAAUGCGAUAAGUAAUGUGAAUUGCAGAAUUCCGUGAAUCAUCGAAUCUUUGAACGCACAUU
rnacentral:rRNA from 1 species